GAUGAACGCUGGCGGCGUGCCUAAUACAUGCAAGUCGAGCGAACAGAUGAGGAGCUUGCUCCUCUGACGUUAGCGGCGGACGGGUGAGUAACACGUGGAUAACCUACCUAUAAGACUGGGAUAACUUCGGGAAACCGGAGCUAAUACCGGAUAAUAUAUUGAACCGCAUGGUUCAAUAGUGAAAGACGGUUUUGCUGUCUCUUAUAGAUGGAUCCGCGCCGCAUUAGCUAGUUGGUAAGGUAACGGCUUACCAAGGCGACGAUGCGUAGCCGACCUGAGAGGGUGAUCGGCCACACUGGAACUGAGACACGGUCCAGACUCCUACGGGAGGCAGCAGUAGGGAAUCUUCCGCAAUGGGCGAAAGCCUGACGGAGCAACGCCGCGUGAGUGAUGAAGGUCUUCGGAUCGUAAAACUCUGUUAUUAGGGAUGAACAAAUGUGUAAGUAACUAUGCACGUCUUGACGGUACCUAAUCAGAAAGCCACGGCUAACUACGUG
rnacentral:rRNA from 1 species